rnacentral:tRNA from 1 species
GUUUCAGGGCUAGCUCAGCUGGUACAGCAUAAGACUCUUAAUCUCAGGGUUGUGGGUUCAAGCCCCACACUGGGCA